rnacentral:rRNA from 1 species
UGAGGAAUUUUCCGCAAUGGGCGCAAGCCUGACGGAGCGACGCCGCGUGAGGGAUGACGGCCUUCGGGUUGUAAACCUCUUUUAUUAAGGAAAAAGGCAAUCGUGCUAACACCACGGUUGUUUGAUGGUACUUAUUGAAUAAGCCCCGGCUAACUACGUGCCAGCAGCCGCGGUAAUACGUAGGGGGCGAGCGUUGUCCGGAGUUACUGGGCGUAAAGAGCGUGUAGGCGGUUGGAAAAGUCAGAUGUGAAAUUCUUCGGCUCAACCGAGGAACUGCGUCUGAAACUUUCCGACUGGAGUUCGGGAGGGGCAACUGGAAUUCCUGGUGUAACGGUGAAAUGUGUAGAUAUCAGGAGGAACACCCGUGGCGAAGGCGGGUUGCUGGACCGAAACUGACGCUGAGACGCGAAAGCGUGGGUAGCAAACA